rnacentral:lncRNA from 1 species
UACCAGCACACACCAAAAGAUGUAAAGGUGCUCCUUAUGAGAGAAGAGAUUUCUACUGGCUAUUUUCUUCUGCACUCUUUGUGGCUAUUUUGAACCUCAGUUCAUAUAACGUCUACACAUUGUCUUAUGGAUGCGGGAUCAUUGUGUUUGCUCUCAGGGGAGCAACAAGGAAAUAUAAUUCUCUAAGGGAGAAGAGAGGCUGGAGUUAGCUUUACACAGAGCUGUUUCCAGCUUAGUGGGGGCCUAUGGAGGAAGCCAUUUGAAGGUCCCCGUAACAUAACGCUGCAUCAAAAAGCAAGACCAAGAUCUUUUAAUCUAGUAAAUCUCAACACAACUAUCUACUUUUAUUAGUGAUGAAGCAUGACGGUGGUAACAUUAUGCUUUGAUGGUGUUCUUUGGUGUUACGGGCAUUGACAAGGGGACUGGAGCUGAGUGAGUAGCUCAAAGAAAAAUCGUGCACACAGGAAAAUAGUCAAAUGCAGAGGGCU